GGGUUGUGAGGUUAAGCGACUAAGCGUACACGGUGGAUGCCCUGGCAGUCAGAGGCGAUGAAGGGCGUGCUAAUCUGCGAUAAGCGCCGGUAAGGUGAUAUGAACCGUUAUAACCGGCGAUACCCGAAUGGGGAAACCCAGUGUGACUCGUCACACUAUCAUUAACUGAAUCCAUAGGUUAAUGAGGCGAACCGGGGGAACUGAAACAUCUAAGUACCCCGAGGAAAAGAAAUCAACCGAGAUUCCCCCAGUAGCGGCGAGCGAACGGGGAGGAGCCCAGAGCCUGAAUCAGCAUGUGUGUUAGUGGAAGCGUCUGGAAAGGCGCGCGAUACAGGGUGACAGCCCCGUACACAAAAGCGCAUGUGCUGUGAGCUCGAUGAGUAGGGCGGGACACGUGGUAUCCUGUCUGAAUAUGGGGGGACCAUCCUCCAAGGCUAAAUACUCCUGACUGACCGAUAGUGAACCAGUACCGUGAGGGAAAGGCGAAAAGAACCCCGGCGAGGGGAGUGAAAAAGAACCUGAAACCGUGUACGUACAAGCAGUGGGAGCCCCACCACCAAAGCAUUCUCUGGUGUUGAAGGCCCUGCAAAGCAGCAUCGCGGUGGCGGAGCGUCGUUUGCGACGCCCAACACACAAAACAAGCGGUGAGUGCUUUGGGGUGGGGUGACUGCGUACCUUUUGUAUAAUGGGUCAGCGACUUAUAUUCUGUAGCAAGGUUAACCGAAUAGGGGAGCCGGAGGGAAACC
rnacentral:rRNA from 1 species